rnacentral:lncRNA from 1 species
CCCAAGAAGCAAUGUAAAAUUUGAAACGAGCCGGGCGCGGUGGCUCACGGGAGGCCGAGGCUGGCGAAUCAUUUGAGUAGAGACGGGGUUUCACCGUGUUAGCCAGGAUGGUCUCCAUCUCCUGACCUCGUGAUCCGCCCGCCUCGGUCUCCCAAAGUGCUGGGAUUACAGACGUGAGCCACCGCGCCCGGCCUGUAUUAGGUUUUUAAACAGCAGGAGGGCAAAGCUUUUCGGUGUGAUCCUGACUUCACUUGGGGAAAAAGGGCAGACACAGGGUCUCACUGUGUCGGCCAGGCUGGAGUGCGGCAGUCUGGAACUCCUGGGCCCAAGCGAUCCUCCAGUCAGCCUCCCAAAGCACUGGAAUUACAGGUAGCUCAGAGAGCUGCGCUGGAGGAGAAAGGCAAUCCUGGCAGGAGCUCUGGUACCUGGCAAGCUGGAUGGAGAGCCUGGGCCAGAAUCCCGGACCCCUCGCCUCUGCAGCCUAGCUUUGUGACCUUGGCAAAUCCAUUCUAUGCGCCUCCGUUUCCUGUACAGUGGGGAUACUUAUUUCUCUGGCACAGAUUGGUAUUUGUUCUGUAAAGCCCAGUACCACUUUAUUUUAUUUUAGUUAUUGAUUUUUUUGAGACAGGGCCUCACUCUGUUGCCAAGGCUGGAAUGCAGUGGCGAGAUCAUAGCUCGCUGCAGCCUCAAACUCCUGGACUCAGGCCAUCCUCCUGCCUCAGCCUCCUGAGUAGCUGGGACGACAGGCAUGCCCCACUGCGCCUAGCUCCAGUACCAUGUUUAAACGCUGCUCAGAAAACUUGCUAAACUUGGUGGAUGGGAAUUGAAAACAGAUUUAAUGUUUUAAAAAUCACAGUCACCCAGCUGCAGUGCCACAUGGGAAGGAGGCCUGAACGUGAAUGUUGGUGGGAGCUGAGAGCUCCUGUGACUGCCACCAGUGUCCUGUGGUCUCCCACAGACUCGGGACAUCUCCCUCUGCACCAGGACACCUCAGGACCACCAGAGGGCACUCAUCGUACCUUCACCCCCGGAAGUGAGCUGGUCCUGGGGGCAAAACCCACUGUGCCUGGGAAGCCCUUCCUGGCUUCUGCUCUCCUCAAUGUAUGACAGCCCUGAUUUACCC